CACAAUAACGCCAGUGAGCAAGUCUUCUGAAUCUGUUAAACCUGGCUGUAAGCAGUGGAUGCACAGAGCCAAUCAGUGGAUGUUAGCAUGCCCAUGACAGGUAUCCAGUACUUGUGCGGACUUCAGAGGACACCACAAAAUCAGCUUACAUUCAGUUUUUGAAUUCACAAAUGACUUUUACAAUUACAACCCAUUCCAGCAUAAUCCCAUGCCUGAAAUUAUCAUACUCUAUGGUACCUAAGCAGUGCAAACAAAUUCCUCCUCCUGGCCAGAGGCCUCCUGCAUCACAUGCUGGCAGGGUGAGCAGAAUGAGGUGGGUAAACAAAUGAAGUGGCCCGGUAAAGCCAGGUACCAUUUAAAGGUACCAUACCAUGCUACCAUUCUGGAUGUUCAGUGUGCAUUCAUCAGGAUUGAACAGGCAGUAGUUAGGUAUCUUUUCUCUUUUAAACCUUCCUAUGAUAUACAGAAUACAGGUUGCAAUUUGACUUCUUUCUCUUUUUUCUAGCAAUUGAACAUGUGAUACUAAAAUCUAUGCUUACAACAAAGUUUUAGGAAAGCAGAAUAUUUGAAAAAGAGAGCCCAUUACUGUAUUGAGCUGUUUACAACUGCUGUGUCAUGUACCUCAGAGACCAACUAAUGCACAGGCAGUGACAAAGGAAGGAUUACAGCAGUGACGUUCAGGCGCACAGUGUGGACAGCAGGCAGUCAUUGCCAGCACGGAGAGGCCACAACUGACUGCAGUCACAAGUCGCCACUGAACGUGCAUUUCUCUGCAUGAAAGGCAGGGACAUAAAACAGGUUACACUAUGGUCUCUGUAGCAGAAAUGUGAAGUCAGGGCCUGACCCAGUGAUGGAGCACUUGGUGGGAAGGCAGGGCCAACCCAGGGGAGCUCAGGUGCAUGCAGUGCAUCUGAGUGACCAGAAGGGGUGGAGCCAGGAUCCACCCCUUGCCAGACCUCAUGUAAGAGUUGGCAGUGCAGGCAAGGGUAUCUUGCUGGAGAUCCCUGCCUACCUGAGGCCUUCCAAAGGGAACAAGUUUGAAUUUACCAUAGACUCAGGAGAAGUUCACAGUGUAUCGCUGGGUCAAGGACAGGAAGCAGCAGCAGAAAUAGCUAUGGAAAAAGCAUCAAAAGAAGGCCACUGGGUUAUACUUCAACAAAGUGGUUUGGCGCAUUACAGAAAUUACUGAAGGAGCCCAGCGAAGGAGGCCACCGCGUGAUCGGUGCGAGUGCAGGGAACUGCCCCUUCUCCUGAAGAACACCUUGCUCCAGAGGGGAUUCUGCAAAUUUCCUGCUAAAAUAGCCGAGAAGCCACCGCCUGAAGUGCUGCCUGAUCUUCGUGCUGCAGUGGAUCAUUUAGCCCGGGCAAGUUACACAGCUCAGAAAUAGAACUUCAAAAACAUGAUUAUUAAAACUUCUCACCACAAAGCCACUCGAAACAGUGAAGCCUCCAGCAGGAUGACAAAGCAGAAUGCAUUACAUUUCCUAAAGAUUUGUUUGCAUAUCCUAGAGUGAAAGAAUUGCACCAAAAAAAACCAUAAAACAAGAAAAUAGUUCUUUUAGUUCUAAAGCAUCAAAUACAGCUUCUGGUUAAAAGCAUGUCUCUGUGCACGGGAAACAGUUUACAGUCAUCACAGAUAAUUACUGUAGUACAGAAUAAGGCUUCAUUUUGAGUUAGUCUGGUUUUAAUUGGAUUUUUCCUGCAAUGCAAGACCGUGCUGCUGUGCCCCUGGAAUGCUCACGCUGUCUGAGGGUGCCCUGGGAGCAGGUCCCCCCAGGGGGGAACAUGGGGCCACGCUGCCAAUUCGCAUCGCGAGGGUUUGGUCCCAGAUGUCUGGAUCAUGACACUGAGGGAGGAACGCGUUGGCCGCUGGGUUCUCGCGUCUUCCUCUGUCCUUUUUAACCUUUGUUUUGGAAGGCUUUUGAUAAAAACCGUUUUUGUUACUGAGCCUUAAAGAUACACAUACCCACAGGUGGAGGGAAGUGGAGAUGACAGGUGAGGUUACACCAACAGGGCAAAGAAACAGCGUCUCUUUAGACCACCUAUUUGUGCUGAUGGCAGCACCAACCUCAAUUUUAAGAAACUCACCCAUUACCAAAAAGAAAAUUGUUUUUCGCUUGACAUUUCAACACCACGUUCGGAAAACCUUUGCGAAAAUUACGAAGGCUUUUCCUUUCCUCUUCUUUACAUACAUUCUCUAAGCGACACACACACGCACAGGACAGAACAGCCCGCCGAUCGCGCCGAGCGGGGACGGUCUCGGGACGCGCUGCCAAACGCACAAAGAAAUCCGCCGGCUGCGAGCACGGGCACGGCAUCUUUGUCACCAACUUCUGCCAGUCGCUCCCUCAGCCCAAUUCCGCCGCCGGGAGCAGCCGCGCCUCCCGCCCCGUCCCCGCCCGCCG